UGUGGCUGGGGGUGAAAGGCCAAUCAAACCGGGAGAUAGCUGGUUCUCCCCGAAAGCUAUUUAGGUAGCGCCUCGUGAAUUCAUCUCCGGGGGUAGAGCACUGUUUCGGCAAGGGGGUCAUCCCGACUUACCAACCCGAUGCAAACUGCGAAUACCGGAGAAUGUUAUCACGGGAGACACACGGCGGGUGCUAACGUCCGUCGUGAAGAGGGAAACAACCCAGACCGCCAGCUAAGGUCCCAAAGUCAUGGUUAAGUGGGAAACGAUGUGGGAAGGCCCAGACAGCCAGGAUGUUGGCGUAGAAGCAGCCAUCAUUUAAAGAAAGCGUAAUAGCUCACUGGUCGAGUCGGCCUGCGCGGAAGAUGUAACGGGGCUAAACCAUGCACCGAAGCUGCGGCAGCGACACUAUGUGUUGUUGGGUAGGGGAGCGUUCUGUAAGCCUGUGAAGGUGUGCUGUGAGGCAUGCUGGAGGUAUCAGAAGUGCGAAUGCUGACAUAAGUAACGAUAAAGCGGGUGAAAAGCCCGCUCGCCGGAAGACCAAGGGUUCCUGUCCAACGUUAAUCGGGGCAGGGUGAGUCGACCCCUAAGGCGAGGCCGAAAGGCGUAGUCGAUGGGAAACAGGUUAAUAUUCCUGUACUUGGUGUUACUGCGAAGGGGGGACGGAGAAGGCUAUGUUGGCCGGGCGACGGUUGUCCCGGUUUAAGCGUGUAGGCUGGUUUUCCAGGCAAAUCCGGAAAAUCAAGGCUGAGGCGUGAUGACGAGGCACUACGGUGCUGAAGCAACAAAUGCCCUGCUUCCAGGAAAAGCCUCUAAGCAUCAGGUAACAUCAAAUCGUACCCCAAACCGACACAGGUGGUCAGGUA
rnacentral:rRNA from 1 species